rnacentral:rRNA from 1 species
GUGAGGAAUAUUGGUCAAUGGGCGGGAGCCUGAACCAGCCAAGUCGCGUGAAGGAAGAAGGAUCUAUGGUUCGUAAACUUCUUUUGCAGGGGAAUAAAGUGCAGGACGUGUCCUGUUUUGUAUGUACCCUGAGAAUAAGGAUCGGCUAACUCCGUGCCAGCAGCCGCGGUAAUACGGAGGAUCCGAGCGUUAUCCGGAUUUAUUGGGUUUAAAGGGUGCGUAGGUGGUUUGAUAAGUCAGCGGUGAAAGUUUGCAGCUUAACUGUAAAAAUGGCGUUGAAACUGUCGGACUUGAGUGUAAAUGAGGUAGGCGGAAUGCGUGGUGUAGCGGUGAAAUGCAUAGAUAUCACGCAGAACUCCGAUUGCGAAGGCAGCUUACUAAGCUACAACUGACACUGAAGCACGAAAGCGUGGGGAUCAAACAGGAUUAGAUACCCUGGUAGUCC